GGGAAGGUAGCUCAGUGGUAGAGUGCUUGCCUCACAUGCAAGAAGUCCUGGGUUCGAUUCCUCAGCACCA
rnacentral:tRNA from 1 species